GUUUUAUUUCGGAUAUUGUUUUCGCUCGCGGAUACAUUCGUUGUCACGGUCACACUGCUAGCAGAAAGUCCAAAAUUAAAGAUCCAAUUGGAAAACUCAAGAAGUUGGUAUUGCGUAGGCAUUUUUUCUAUAAGCUCUUGGAGAAGUGACGAAUUAUUCAGCUCAUCUUGCAGUCCGCAUGCUUCGAUGGUGGCGAUAAGACUUUUGACGUUAAUGGCAAAGACUGCAGGAUCUUUUCUGGUUGCCCGAAAAGAAGUUUAAGAGUUGAAAUUGCAGCAGGAACGCAGGAUGGAUGAACAAGGAUAUGUUGUACUGAGCGAAGAGCUUCUCCUCGAAGGCACCUUUGCAUCCGUAGAAGAUUUUCGGCAUCGGUCAGCCCACAGAUCAUUGUAGACCAGUCAAAUGUGGAACUAAAUACUGGCCACUCUUCCGGUUGGCCGGAGAAUAUAGGCAGCUCUUUUGGGACGGAGUGCCUCGCCUGUAUUUGCUCUUUUGUUAAAUUUGAACAUGCUAUUUGUGUUGAUGAUGUGAAUGAAUUUGAAUUUAGAUUGCCACUACUCGCUGGAAAUAUCCCAUCUUGAGUAUUAACGUUUUGCGGGUGUAUACAUCCGCCUUCUGAAGGGCGACUUGAAUAUAUAAGUGAU